GAUGAACGCUGGCGGCGUGCUUAACACAUGCAAGUCGAACGGUGAAAGCGGAGCUUGCUCUGCUGGAUCAGUGGCGAACGGGUGAGUAACACGUGAGCAAUCUGCCCCUGACUCUGGGAUAAGCGCUGGAAACGGCGUCUAAUACCGGAUACGAGCUGCGAAGGCAUCUUCAGCAGCUGGAAAGAACUUCGGUCAGGGAUGAGCUCACGGCCUAUCAGCUUGUUGGUGAGGUAAUGGCUCACCAAGGCGUCGACGGGUAGCCGGCCUGAGAGGGUGACCGGCCACACUGGGACUGAGGCACGGCCCAGACUCCUACGGGAGGCAGCAGUGGGGAAUAUUGCACAAUGGGCGAAAGCCUGAUGCAGCAACGCCGCGUGAGGGAUGACGGCCUUCGGGUUGUAAACCUCUUUUAGCAGGGAAGAAGCGAAAGUGACGGUACCUGCAGAAAAAGCGCCGGCUAACUACGUGCCAGCAGCCGCGGUAAUACGUAGGGCGCAAGCGUUAUCCGGAAUUAUUGGGCGUAAAGAGCUCGUAGGCGGUUUGUCGCGUCUGCUGUGAAAUCCCGAGGCUCAACCUCGGGUCUGCAGUGGGUACGGGCAGACUAGAGUGCGGUAGGGGAGAUUGGAAUUCCUGGUGUAGCGGUGGAAUGCGCAGAUAUCAGGAGGAGCACCGAUGGCGAAGGCAGAUCUCUGGGCCGUUACUGACGCUGAGGAGCGAAAGGGUGGGGAGCAAACAGGCUUAGAUACCCUGGUAGUCCACCCCGUAAACGUUGGGAACUAGUUGUGGGGUCCAUUCCACGGAUUCCGUGACGCAGCUAACGCAUUAAGUUCCCCGCCUGGGGAGUACGGCCGC
rnacentral:rRNA from 1 species